AACGUAGGAGACAAGCGUUAUCCGGAGUUACUGGGCGUAAAGGGCGUGUAGGCGGUUAGUUAAGUCUGGCGUGAAAGCUCUCGGCUAAACCGGGAGAGGUCGUUGGAUACUGGCAAACUAGAGGACGGUAGAGGCGUGUGGAAUUCCGGGUGUAGUGGUGAAAUGCGUAGAUAUGCGGAGGAACACCGAUGGCGAAGGCAAUCCCCUGGGCCUGUACUGACGCUCAUGCACGAAAGCGUGGGGAGCAAACAGG
rnacentral:rRNA from 1 species